GAAAAAUAAUAAAAUUUAAAUACUAUGAUGGAAAUGACUAAUGAGCACAAGAGCAGUAUUACGAAAAAUAAAAAGCUAGUCUUUCGAUGCUUCUUUUAGUAAAAAGACUUACUUGUUCAACUCAAACUUCAAAGAAAUUUAGAAAAAUUCAUGAAGUGGAUGUUUCGUCAUCCAAGAUCCAAGAUGGCGGCGACAAGGAGUAUUUUUCGUUUUCUAAAUUCAAGACUUUCUACGUCGUUUUCUGCCCUAAGAAUUGGAUUGCCAAGCGGACAUAGUAAGGCGACAAAACGUACAGAUGUUUACAAAUUAAGUUUGUUAACAGCUAAUGGUAUGUACACAAUAAUCAAUAUUCUAAUGUAAAACUGUUUUGUUGCAUUUUAUAGCUGCCCAUCUGUGGUCAAGAAUGUCAUAUCAAUAUACCAAACCAGCGAGACUAUUUUCUACACAUAACAAGCAACCUUGGAUCAAGUACUACAGUCUUCUUUGGGACCAACCACAAAAAUCCAUAUGCCAAAAACUAAUAUUGCCCUUGACAACUAGAACUUUAUCAACGACUGUUUAUAGCAGACCUCUGCUGUCCAUGCCUUCGGGGAAUUUAUGUUUUCGAAGAGGAAUUACCCUAAUCAGCAAAAAAGGAAAGCGUAAAACAUGCAAAGCAGUGGCCAAGAGGUUCAUUAGAACUGGCAAAGGGAAAUUGAAAAGAUGGCGAUGUGGAUACCAUCAUAAUCAAACGAAAAAGAGCAGCAGAAGGAAGAGAGCCUUACGGAAACCAACAUAUGCAUCGAAAACACAGCUUAAGACUUUGAAUAAGAUGUUAAAUGGCUGGUAGUUAAAGUUAA